rnacentral:rRNA from 1 species
UACAGAGGUCCCGAGCGUUGUUCGGAUUCAUUGGGCGUAAAGGGUGCGUAGGCGGCUUCCUAAGUUUGAUGUGAAAUCCUGGGGCUCAACCCUGGAACUGCAUUGAAUACUGGGAGGCUAGAGUACUGGAGAGGAAACUGGAAUUUACGGUGUAGCAGUGAAAUGCGUAGAGAUCGUAAGGAAGACCAGUGGCGAAGGCGAGUUUCUGGACAGUUACCGACGCUGAGGCACGAAGGCCAGGGGAGCAAACGGG